GAUGAACGCUGGCGGCGUGCCUAAUACAUGCAAGUCGAACGGGGAGUAGCAAUACUUCUAGUGGCGAACGGGUGAGUAACGCGUUGGUGACCUGCCCGAAGCGUGGGAUACCAAUCCGAAAGGAUUGCUAAUACCGCAUGGAGUUCUCGAGAUUAGAGGCUUGGGAACGAAAGGAGACAUUCACUUCGGGAGGGGCCUGCGUCCCAUCAGCUAGUUGGUGAGGUAACGGCUCACCAAGGCGAUGACGGGUAGGGGACCUGAGAGGGUGGCCCCCCACAAUGGAACUGAAACACGGUCCAUACACCUACGGGUGGCAGCAGUAGGGAAUAUUGCAAAAUGGCGCAAGCCCGAUGCAGCAACGCCGCGUGGACGAUGAAGGCCUUC
rnacentral:rRNA from 1 species